rnacentral:piRNA from 1 species
AGGACUCAGAGAGAGAAGGUACUUGUC